CACCAUCAGCUAUGGCCCUGCAGAUUUGUACCCUCUUAAACUUAUUCUAGUAUCAGAAGAUGAAAAUCCAGAAACAACUUUAACUGAUACUAGGCAAGUCUCAAUUAAGAAAAAUAAACAAAACCUCUGCAUGCUAAGCUUCAAACUUCAGACCACCUUCAAAGAGCAGUUUUCAUCCUCAUCUGCAUUCUCCGCCUUAUGUCCCUAAGAGCUAGGAGAAUAAACUGAAACAUGCAUAAACAAGUAUAAUUAAAAUUAAAAAAUGUGAGACUUGUUAUAUUGUAGAAUCUCAGAACGCAUAACAUGCAAGGGCAUGCCGGUUCUGAAGAAUCUAGACAAAAGCAAUCUCUUCGGCAGAUCUGUAUGGAUCUUAAAUUCACACAAAAUUAUUUUUUCUUUUAAAGUAAAACCAUAGAUAUUAUUACCUUUUCUUCACUCAUCAAAAUCACUCCAAAUCUGUCCACAGAAACACAACUCCAUCAGUACUCUUCAUACAUCUUCAACAACACCAACUAUUAGCAUUGCAGGUUCAUAGCAUGUUAAGAAACGCAGAAUAAAGAAAUGUAUUCAACGAUGGAAAGAUUAAAUGAACAACAACUUCAAUAUCUGAACCAAGGAAGAUUGAGUUAAGGAAAUACCAGAAUCAAAACCUCUGCAUGCUAGGGUCCAAACUUCAAGGCCACAGUGAAUGAACGGUCUUCUCCACCUGAGUUCACCUCCUAAUCUUUAUCUGUAUCCUUCACGUGAUGUAUCUAUCCACUUCAACGUUACCAGCAUGUAACACUGUUUCUGAAAGAUUCCUUUGCACAAAC
rnacentral:lncRNA from 1 species